UACGGAAGGUGCAAGCGUUGCUCGGAAUCACUGGGCGUAAAGGGUGCGUAGGCGGCCGUGCAAGUCUGGCGUGAAAGCCCCGGGCUCAGCCCGGGAAGUGCGCUCGAAACUGCGCGGCUCGAGUGCCGGAGGGGAGAGUGGAAUUCCUGGUGUAGCGGUGAAAUGCGUAGAUAUCAGGAGGAAUACCGGUGGCGAAAGCGACUCUCUGGACGGCAACUGACGCUGAGGCGCGAAAGCUAGGGGAGCAAACAGG
rnacentral:rRNA from 1 species